GUAGGGAAUAUUGGGCAAUGGAUGCAAGUCUGACCCAGCCAUGCCGCGUGGAGGAAGAAGGUCCUCUGUAUUGUAAACUCCUUUUUUGGGGGAAGAAUAGUUCUCUUGCGAGGGAAUGUGACGGUACCCUAAGAAUAAGCCACGGCUAACUACGUGCCAGCAGCCGCGGUAAUACGUAGGUGGCAAGCGUUGUCCGGAUUUAUUGGGUUUAAAGGGUGCGUAGGUGGUUUGAUAAGUCAGUGGUGAAAGCUGGUUGAUAAACAAUCAAGUUGCCAUUGAUACUGUCGGACUUGAGAGAAGUGGAGGUUCAUGGAAUGGAUGGUGUAGCGGUGAAAUGCAUAGAUAUCAUACAGAACGUCGAUUGCGAAGGCAGUGGGCUGUACUUUAUCUGACACUGAGGCACGAAAGUGUGGGGAUCAAACAGGAUUAGAUACCCGGGUAGUCC
rnacentral:rRNA from 1 species